rnacentral:rRNA from 1 species
UGGGGAAUAUUGCACAAUGGAGGGAACUCUGAUGCAGCGACGCCGCGUGAGUGAUGAAGGAAUUCGUUUCGUAAAACUCUGUUCUCUGGGAAGAAAAGGACUGUACCAUAGGAGAAAGCUCCGGCUAAAUACGUGCCAGCAGCCGCGGUAAUACGUAUGGAGCGAGCGUUGUCCGGAAUUAUUGGGCGUAAAGGGUGCGCAGGCGGCUUUACAAGUUGGAUGUGAAAUAUUGUGGCUCAACCACAAACGUGCAUCCAAAACUGCAAAGCUGGAGUUAAGGAGAGGUAAGUGGAAUUCCUGGUGUAGCGGUGGAAUGCGUAGAUAUCAGGAGGAAUACCGGUGGCGAAGGCGACUUACUGGACUUAAACUGACGCUCAGGCACGAAAGCGUGGGGAGCAAACAGG